rnacentral:rRNA from 1 species
ACGACCAUAGGUACUAGAGAACACGGGAUCCCGUCCGCUCUCCCAUAGUUAAGCUAGUAACCGGCGGAUUAGUAGUUGGGUCGGUGACGACCAGCGAAUCCCCGCUGUUGUAUGUU